UACACUGCGCACGCCACAGGUGUCCUGCCGCCAAGCCAUACCGGCGCGCAGGGUGAAACGGGAAGCCGGUGCGGACGGGAUCGUCCAAGGCCGGCGCUGCCCCCGCAACGGUAUGCGAGAAAACCCGACGUUUCACCACUGCGUUCGCGCGGGAAGGUGUCGGGGUGAUGCAACGGCAUCGCUCGCAAGCCCGGAGACCGGCCCGUGGCGGGCAUCGCAU
rnacentral:ncRNA from 2 species